rnacentral:misc_RNA from 1 species
AACGCACCUUGCGCUCUCUGGUAUUCCGGGGAGCAUGCUUGUUUCAGUCUCAAUAGAUUACUCAAAAACAUUGUUGUUUUUGGAAUUUGGGCCGUCUCUGUUUAGAGUGGCUUAAAAGGAAUUUUUGGGCUUUUUAGCAAUAAAGUGAAAUUAGUACUUUGGGCUUUCAGUCCAGGUUCACUACACUUUUAUUUCGCUAAAAUCAACCCAAAUUUGCAGGAAUUUUCUCAACCCCUUGAGCUGAAAUCAAGUAGGAUUACCCGCUGAACUUAA